GUGUGGGUUAAUCAGCCCAUGUUGCUGUACGCAAUUGACAAGGGCUUUGCUAGUACUGCUGGGUCUUCCCUCCUGAUAGGGGAAUCCACAGGAGGCAGGAGCAGAGGCUCCCCCAGACCUUCAGCCCACAUCACUGUUCCCCUGCUCCUUCUUAACUGAGAAGUGCUGUUUGGAGUAACCUUUAAUGCACCAAGACAAACCUCUAUUGAAUGAAGAAGAAGAGAGAGUGCUGAAGGAUAAUUCUGAGCCAUGUUAAAGAGAUUUAUUGGCCAGGUUUUUGGAUACCAUCAAAAUCAUUGCUUUCAUGUUCUGUGGAGACUGGAUCCUGACUUUUCUUUGGAAACCACCUGUGCAAUGUUUUCAGGCUCUGGAGUUUGAGUGAGAUGGGCAUCUGAUUCAGGAAGGCCACCUGACAACCUCAGUUCAGUUUGGUGAUGUGGAAUUUCAGCAUUAGUGAUUCCACAUGGAUUUUAAGCUUCCUCUAUUGAGACCUAUUUUAAAAAGUUACCAAAAUCAAAAUGGAGUUGCUUGGGUCAACUCUAACAAAAAUAAACAAAGCUAAAAAGUUAUAAAAGAAGAGCUCUUACACAUGGUUGCCUGAUGAUAACCAUCAAAAAAGAUUCUUCCAGAACCAUGAGCUUGUAGAGGCCACUGCAAUCUAAUAGUGCUUCUCCAAGGAAAUCUGUCCAGCAUCUAUCUACUCAAACUUAGGAGGUCACCCUCAUUAUUAAUCUCUCAAUCAAAAAUUAUUAUUCCAAUGCAUCUUGUGUAAAUGCCCUCACUUUUACCUUUAAAAACUUCUCCCUGUCUCAACCUCUUUGAAUAUGUCUGUGAUUUACUAUGUUAGGUAUAUUUCCAUUGUAAUACUGCUAUUCUCGUUUGAAUGCUAUUUCCAGAUAAAACUUGGGAUUUUGCUUUUA